rnacentral:rRNA from 1 species
AUUGAACGCUGGCGGCAGGCCUAACACAUGCAAGUCGAACGAGUGGCGGACGGGUGCGUAAUGUCUGGGAAACUGCCUGAUGGAGGGGGAUAACUACUGGCAACGGUAGCUAAUACCGCAUACCAUCGGAUUUGCCCAGAUGGGAUUAGCUCGUGGGUGGGGUAAAGGGUCACCUAGGCGACGAUCCCUAGCUGGUCUGAGAGGAUGACCAGCCACACUGGAACUGAGACACGGUCCAGACUCCUACGGGAGGCAGCAGUGGGGAAGAUUGCACAAUGGGCGCAAGCCUGAUGCAGCCAUGCCGCGGGUAUGAAGAAGGCCUUCGGGUUGUAAAGUACUUUCAGCGGGGAGGCGUUACCCGCAGAAGAAGCACCGGCUAACUCCGUGCCAGCAGCCGCGGUAAUUC